CCUACGGGUGGCAGCAGUGGGGAAUAUUGGACAAUGGGCGAAAGCCUGAUCCAGCCAUGCCGCGUGUGUGAAGAAGGCCUUCGGGUUGUAAAGCACUUUCAGUGGGGAAGAAAGCCUUGGGGCUAAUACCCUCGAGGAAGGACAUCACCCACAGAAGAAGCACCGGCUAACUCCGUGCCAGCAGCCGCGGUAAUACGGAGGGUGCGAGCGUUAAUCGGAAUUACUGGGCGUAAAGCGCGCGUAGGCGGUCUGAUAAGCCGGUUGUGAAAGCCCCGGGCUCAACCUGGGAACGGCAUCCGGAACUGUCAGGCUAGAGUGCAGGAGAGGAAGGUAGAAUUCCCGGUGUAGCGGUGAAAUGCGUAGGGAUCGGGAGGAAUACCAGUGGCGAAGGCGGCCUUCUGGACUGACACUGACGCUGAGGUGCGAAAGCGUGGGUAGCAAACAGGAUUAGAUACCCGUGUAGUC
rnacentral:rRNA from 1 species